rnacentral:rRNA from 1 species
UGCGUAGGCGGCUCUUUAAGUCAGUGGUGAAAUCUUGCCGCUUAACGGUAAAAUUGCCAUUGAUACUGAAGAGCUUGAGUACAGUUGAGGUAAGCGGAAUGUGUAGUGUAGCGGUGAAAUGCUUAGAUAUUACACAGAACACCAAUUGCGAAGGCAGCUUACUAAACUGUUACUGACGCUGAUGCACGAAAGCGUGGGGAGCGAACAGGAUUAGAUACCCUGGUAGUCCACGCCGUAAACGAUGCUCACUCGCUGUUUGCGAUACACAGCAAGCGGCCAAGCGAAAGCAUUAAGUGAGCCACCUGGGGAGUACGAUCGCAAGGUUGAA